UACGGAGGGUGCGAGCGUUGUCCGGAAUCACUGGGCGUAAAGGGCGCGUAAGCGGCCGUGUAAGUCACCUGUGAAAUCCCGGGGCUCAACUCCGGGGCUGCAGGUGAGACUGCGUGGCUAGAGCACGGUAGAGGCGAGUGGAAUUCCCGGUGUAGCGGUGGAAUGCGUAGAUAUCGGGAAGAACACCGGUGGCGAAGGCGGCUCGCUGGGCCGUUGCUGACGCUGAGGCGCGAAAGCGCGGGGAGCAAACAGG
rnacentral:rRNA from 1 species